UACGGGGGGGGUAAGCGUUGUUCGGAAUUACUGGGCGUAAAGCGUGCGCAGGCGGUUCUGAAAGUCAGCUGUGAAAGCCCCGGGCUUAACCUGGGAAUUGCGGUUGAAACUACAGGGCUAGAAUCUGGCAGAGGGGGGUGGAAUUCCACGUGUAGCAGUGAAAUGCGUAGAGAUGUGGAGGAACACCGAUGGCGAAGGCAGCCCCCUGGGCUGAGAUUGACGCUCAGGCACGAAAGCGUGGGGAGCAAACAGG
rnacentral:rRNA from 1 species